GCCGGGGUGGCAGAGUGGCAAAUGCGCCGGACUCGAGAUCCGGUUCUCCUUUGAGGAGAGCAGGGGUUCAAGUCCCCUCCCCGGCG
rnacentral:tRNA from 1 species